CUUUGCUGGAGUUAGGAGUAGCAGUGCAGGAGUUUGGAGAGCAGAACCCCCUCCUCUGUAAGCAGCUGGGCGACGCUGUGGCAAAGCUGAUAGAGGUGCAGCGCCAAACCACACAGCAGGUCCAGGACAGAGCUAACAGGCUGAGGAAGGCAGAAAGACAGGCGGAGGAUUAUCAGGGUAUGAAGGUGUUCAUUUCGGGCUGGGCAGAAAAGGCAGAGACUCUGGUCAGCUGCAGCAUCAUCUGGGGCUCCGCCUCCCAGCUCCAAGAACAAAUUCGAGCACAUCAGGCUCUGCUGCGGGAGUGUCGGGGUCUCCAUGGUGAUUUGGAGGCCAUGGGGGAGAGGGAGGGGCAGCUGGGGGAGGUGUUGCAGACGGA